CAUCAUAAGUCAGAACCUCAUAAUAGUGUAUGGCGACUGGAUGCCCAAGUGCCCACCACUCCUCACCCACAGAGAGAGAGAGAGAAGGGCCUACGAGGUCUUUGUGGCACUCCCACAUGAAAAUGGGAAACAAUGAUUAGAUAAAGAAGAGUUUAGGAGAGACAUGUUCAUAUGACGUACAAAUUAAACGAACAGCCGGACAACAGCAAUUUGAUACCAGGUGCAACAAUAAUAGCAUCUUCUGAAGUGAAGUGUGACUGUUGGUUCUGAAAAUUGGGUGCACUGAAUUCAUCAAUGUAUAUCUUCAUAUAGUAUAUGAUUUUAUUUGUGUAUGGUUCCAAUAUGGGGGGUUCUUAUUUUUUGGCCCCUCCCAUGGGUGGCAUACUGUUAUGGCAAUCAUGCUUGCUUAGUUGGAUCACACAAGUCCCAUCACAUGCUUUACUGGUGGAUUGGUGGGUGCCAUUGUCUUAUAAUUCAUUUAUAUAUUAAAAAUAUAUCUCAUAUGUUUUAAAGUAAAUAAACACUCAACAUUUUAGUUCGUUUUAAAAUAAAUAAAACGUGAAUUCUCUUUAUAUCUCUUUUCAUCAUAUAAGAUUAUAAGUCGCUUAUUUUCAUUCUCUCUAUCUAUUUCCUCUCUUAAAUCUUCGUGUCAAUCUCCUAUUGUUAUGAGCUUAUAAAGUCAAGAUGCUUCUUCUUCUUAAUGAGUUCUCUAGGAGACUUGUGCUAGCGAUGCACUGAUCCUCGCUCCAAACCUGCAGCAAAGGAAAGCAACCCUGUAAGUUUGGGUGGUGGUUCCUCAUUCGAAGUUUAAGUCAGUUCUGGUAAGAAAUUAGGUUUGGUGAGAGAGAAAGUGGGUGGAUAUUUUAACAGAGUGAUGGCACUGAAUUUUGUGUGAUCUACCUUUUUACCCAAUGUUAAAACUUAUAAUGUUUGAGAUCUUAAACUUGGCAUUUGAUCUCACCCUAGAUUAGGAGCAUUUGAUUGGCUAAGCAAUCAAAAUUUACCACAUGGCAGACAAUGUUUGGGUAUCAAUUCAGCCAAUUAUAUGCAACCGUUUUUUGGGAUUUGGGCCUAAUUAUUCCUUCUUUUCUGAAAUGGGCUGAGAAUGUCAGGGGAAUAAUUUCUUCAAAAGGUCAUAUUUCAUCUCCUCUUUAAUGACACCUGGAGGCCUCUGAUUGGUCAACUUAUAGUCUAACCAGCCCUUCUCAUAGGCUACAACAUCCAGUGACGGACCGAGAAGGGUACAUGAAGGUAUAAUUGUACCUCCAUUUUUUUAAAAAAAAAUCAGCUCUUUCUCAACUUUUUCUCUCCACGCUCUCCGCCUCCAGUGCACUAGCUCAAUGCUCCUACGGGCCUCUGCCUCUUCCCACCUCUAUUCUACCACAGCUCGCCUCUAUUUUGGACAUGGUGGGUCCCAAUCUAGUUCUACAAACUACGACCAGUAAUGGCUAGGGAUGGCGAGAAAUGACAUCCACAAGUUUUCCGUGGUGAAUGGACUAAUCUUCUGCACGAGUUUUGAUGGGUAUCUUAAAGGGCAGCGUUCCUCCCAGUUGAGAUUUUUUCCAUACCCAUUAAAAAACGAGAGGUCUUUAACCACUCACGUCAGACGUCACCCCUAAUUGGUAAAUUUUGUAUGCCUUUGAUUUAUCAUAAUCACACUUUUCCUUCCAUAGAGAUUAUACGUGGCUAUCACAGUAUUCAUAUUUCCCUUUUUGUUUUAAAGUCACUAAACAAAGAACUAAUUAGUAGACAGGUGUUUGGAUCCCAUAAAUCCUGUCACAUGAGUUGUGGCAUGUACAAAUAUGAAUUGUGGCAUAUACAAAUUACAAUAAUUAUUUUUCUGUGAUAAAUGAUGCAGAACGAUAAAUGAAGAUAUUCCAAGCUUCUUCUUUACUGCAAAACCUAGUCUUUUUACAAUUUAAAAUGGAGCUACCAAAGUUGAUGUGUUUAUCUUUAUCCAUGUGGUUUUUGAAGUUGAUCACGCUUGUAUGACAAAAGUGGUGGGAAACUCACCUUGUGAUUUUGAGGUCAUCAGUUCGAAUUCCACUACUUACUUGUAUUUGAGAAUAGGAAUUUUCUUAUUUACCCCCUACUCCAAGCAUUGAAGUAUGUAA